CUGGACCUACGGGACGCAGCAGUGGGGGAUAUUGCACAAUGGGGGGAACCCUGAUGCAGCGACGCCGCGUGGGUGAAGGAGCGUUUCGGCGCGUAAAGCCCUAUCGGCAGGGAAGAAGGAGGACGGUACCUGACUAAGAAGCCCCGGCUAACUACGUGCCAGCAGCCGCGGUAAUACGUAGGGGGCAAGCGUUAUCCGGAUUUACUGGGUGUAAAGGGGGCGCAGACGGCAGCGCAAGCCAGGAGUGAAAGCCCGGGGCCCAAACCCGGGCCGGCUCUUGGAACUGCGCGGCUGGAGGGCAGGAG
rnacentral:rRNA from 1 species